CCGGAGAUUCCUGUGCUGCUGUGGACAUGAUGAGAACUCUGAAGUUCAGUUCUCAGUUGAAAAAACAGCUCCAUCUCUUGGUGUCAGCACUGUGAGACCGUGGAGUCAUGGUGAAGAUGAAUGUAUUAUCAGCACAGUUUAGAACACUUGAAUCAAGAUUGAUAAAAACUAUAAGUGUAGCACUUAUACGAUAGAGGAUUGGCCCACUUGAAAUCAUUGUC